rnacentral:rRNA from 1 species
GACGAACGCUGGCGGCGUGCUUAACACAUGCAAGUCGAGCGGUAAGGCCCUUUCGGGGGUACACGAGCGGCGAACGGGUGAGUAACACGUGGGUGACCUGCCCUCAGCUCUGGGAUAAGCCUGGGAAACCGGGUCUAAUACCGGAUAUGACUCCAUGACGCAUGUUGUGGGGUGGAAAGCCUUGUGCGGCUGAGGAUGGGCCCGCGGCCUAUCAGCUUGUUGGUGGGGUGAUGGCCUACCAAGGCGACGACGGGUAGCCGGCCUGAGAGGGCGACCGGCCACACUGGGACUGAGACACGGCCCAGGCUCCUACGGGAGGCAGCAGUGGGGAAUCUUGCGCAAUGGGCGAAAGCCUGACGCAGCGACGCCGCGUGAGGGAUGACGGCCUGGU